GAUAUAAGAUUUGACAAGUUUUUAACUUUAACAAGGGACAAUCACAAGAAUAAAUAUACCAUACAAAAUAUCAUACAUUUAACACUACUUAUUUUGUCACGAUCCCUGAAUGCUUAAGAAGCCGCCUACACAUUUUUUUAUGGAUUAAGAUCCCCUCCAGUACCAAAUCCCUCCAGUUCCUCGUUGGGCUACUGGAUUUACUGCACGUGCAACUUAUAAACUUUAUGGUCCAGAUUUAUUUGGUUAACUCAACCAAUUUGACCCAAGUAAGAAAAUCUAGCACCUACCCAAAUCAAAACAAGCGGGUUCCUCCAACGAAAAAGAUAUGACAAGAGGGAGAUUUAAAGUGUUUUGGUGAAAUUAAUUGUUGAAAUUGCUUUCAUGGAAGACUGGUCUGGUAAGGAAGAAUGUGAUUUGCGGGUCCUCGAAGUCAACGGCAACCCCAUAAGGAAACAACCACAUAGCAGAGCUUAGAAGAAUAUUAGCCGUAAUUGCUAGUUUAGUUAAUGGUUGCAGAAGUUCAACCUAGUAUAUUCAUAUCUUCUAACUGGGUUUGAUUUAUUUCCGUAAGGUUUUUCAAUUCAGAAUAUAUAAUUGAAAAAUUGUACGUGUAGCUCUUCGAUUGAGAUAUAAUUAUGGACCACUAUUGAUAUAAAUCACAUUAAUCUACAAUUUUUGAGCAAUCAGCUAUGAUACCUUUUUCUGUGUA